rnacentral:lncRNA from 1 species
AUACGAAUAACAGCAACUUGUUUAUCUGACUACAUGGUCAACAGACUUUACCAAGAGUUGUUAGUCAAUUAUUUUGAAAUACUGUGAUGGAAGUUGCUGUAGCAAAUAGUUCAUUUUAAACCAAUUUGUGCAUAUACCGAUGUAGUCAAGCUCACACACACACAGGUUCACAGGAUCGGAGUCGCUUCUCUCAAGCUGCCCACAACUACUUCACAUGACCAUGUCAUAAAACCAGGAACUGGAUAUUCUAGAGUUAGAACCCAAGCCAUCAGUCACAAUACCUGAGCUGUCUCACCAGCCUACGGAAAAUGAAGCAGAUAAAUCCUUCAGGACAAAAGAUGCAACACAAAUGGAAAAGGAGUAAGGAGAGAAAAAGGAAUUUAUCUU